AAAUAAGAGAAAUUAUAAUAAAUAAAGAGAUCGUAGCCAUUGCCCAUCACAAGUUUAAACUAAUAGAUCCCUUCCCUAUUCUCCAGCGUCCAUUCCCAUCACCACCUUGAGUCCCCAAGCCUAAAAAUCGCACGGGCCUCUCUACUUCUCUCUGUCUACGGCCUCCUCGUGUGACCCUGCAGCAAUAAAUUGAAAUCAACAAAAGCAGGGCUUUGAAAACACCGAGAUAGCUAAUAAGUCUCCCAUAUUCCGUAUGCCUGAGCCUCAUCACUUCAGCGAUUAUGGCUUUGACCCACAAAUCGACUUCUUUCAGUUCUUGGAAGAAGCAAGAAAGCACAAGCGUGAGACAGUGAGGUCUGUAGACUCUUUGCAUUUCAAGCUCCAGAAACCCAUCUCCAAAGAUGACUCUAACAGAAAGAUCCACAAGACCAAGAAGAAACGGUGGUGGAGAAAAGCCUUCUUAUUUUUCAAAUGGAAGUGGAUCUACGGCCACCAUAAUAACGAUCUUUCCGAUGAAGAAGAUGUCCAUAAAGCUAGGGCUCGAGCAUUCAGGGCAUCAGUAUCGGGUCCUGUGUACAUAACUGAAAGUAUAAGUGGUUCAAGUACUCCACACAGGACCACCAACCGCCCAUCAUCGGGUCCGCUCGCCGGAAAUCUGACUACGGAGAGGAGGGGUGAUUUGGAGAUACCUUAUUUGAGUCUGAGGGAGCUUAACAGGGAGCAGCAGCAGCAGAGGAUGUCCACUUCUGCUAUGCCAAUAUAUUUGGUCACUUAAUUAAAAUGUUUCAGCUUUUAAGUCUUUUUUAGCUCUGUGCAGUUUCUGUUUCAAGAUGUCACAUUGUUACUGACUAGUGACUACUACUUGUUUGAUUUUGGGAAGUUCAAGCUUCAAAAGGUGUUUGAUCCUUUUGGAGGAUGAUUGGAUUGGAUUAUUGAGUUCCGCAACUAAUAGUAACUCGGUGGUUUGACUAAGUCGCCUCCACUCAUUUUCUCCCUUCUUUAUUCGCCAACUUUCACGAGGCUUUUUAAUUAGUGGUUGGAUUAUUUUAUUUGUUAAUAUAAAUUAUUAAAAAAUUUCCUUUAUUUUUUUAAAAAGACCCUUGAAAGCUUGUCGCUUUUAUGCUUUAGAUCAAUAUAUCCACUUUUAGCACAGAUCCUGUGAAUAAAAUUGAAGUGGGAAAGGCAGAUGUGUAGAGCUGCCUUGUGAUAUGGGGUUUGGGUGACAUGGGUAGAGCAUAGGUUUUGGAAGAUGCAAAGACCUCCUUCCUUUAUGUGUGUUUAAUGCAAGAAAAAAUCAUUAUCUUUAACUAUAUAAUGUGGUGUGGGUAAUGAAGAAGUUCUGCAACUACCAAUUUGUUUAAUUACUUAUUAUUAAAUUCGAAAGGUUGGUAUUUUUUAAUUCAGUGCCGACAAUCUCAUCUAUUUUAAACCCUGGACAGGUUGGUGGAGAUUAAUCAUGUAUGUUAUGGUAUGGAUGGAGUGGAGGAGGAGAAAUACCCCAGUAUGCAGCUCAUCCAUCCAAUGUGAAAAUACCAGUCAGCUCUACCGUAAAGCAAUAUGUUUCGGGCACUUCGAUUGGUAGCUUUCGUCCUUUUUCACAUCAUGGACCUUGCUCCUUACAAAGUGAAAACAACCCAUUAGGAUACAGUUCCAACUUCCCCUAGGAGAGCCGGCAUGUUAUCAUUGCGCUUGAUAUACUUUGCCUUAGCCCAAGGGUGGCCGCCGAACCCAUUUGAACCGGCAAUUUUGGUUCAAAAUUUAAGAUAUCAAAAUUAAAACUAUAGAGUUCAUUCGGUUCCAA